UACAGAGGGUGCAAGCGUUAAUCGGAAUUACUGGGCGUAAAGCGCGCGUAGGUGGUUUGUUAAGUUGGAUGUGAAAUCCCCGGGCUCAACCUGGGAACUGCAUCCAAAACUGGCAAGCUAGAGUAUGGUAGACGGUGGUGGAAUUUCCUGUGUAGCGGUGAAAUGCGUAGAUAUAGGAAGGAACACCAGUGGCGAAGGCGACCACCUGGACUGAUACUGACACUGAGGUGCGAAAGCGUGGGGAGCAAACAGG
rnacentral:rRNA from 1 species